UCUUUCACCAGCUUUGAACUGAGCUUAUUUGAGCUUGGUCGCUCUCACACAGUGUUGUGUGCUGUGGUCUAUCGGCCUCCCAAGUACAAUAAGGACUUUUUAAAUUACUUCUCUGAUUUCCUGGCUGAAAUCAUGCCUAAAUAUGACCGUGUUCUUAUUGUUAAUGUUCAUGUGUGUUGUCCUGAUAAGCCAAUGGCAAAGGGUUUUUUAAACCUCAUUGAUUCUUUUAAUCUUGUGCAAUCUGUGUCUGGACCCACACAAGAACACGGACACACACUUGAUCUUGUCUUAUCAUAUGGUUUGCCCGUUUUUAACCUAGAGAUAUGUGACGCAGUGUUUUCUGACCAUAUGCCUGUAUUAUUUGAGGCUGCUCUUGCCUGUCAUACAGUUAAACCUUGCGCUGCUGCUCGACGCUGUCGCGUUAUUAACCCUUCCACUGCUGUUCAGUUCUCGGUUGCUUUCAGUCAGAACUCCGUCUUUCCUGAGUCUAUAUGCAGUACAGAGGAGCUUAGCUCAUGGUUUCACACCACCUGCCAAACUGUUUUAGACACUGUGGCUCCAUUAAAAUCCAGGCAGCCUAAAACUAAAUCUGAGCCCUGGCUAAAUGACACGACUCAUGCUGUCAGACGUGAGUGCCGUAGAGCUGAGCGCAAGUGGAAGAAGGACAAACUGCAGGUGUCUUUUCAAAUGUUAAGGGACUGCUGGCGUCAUUAUCAAAAAACUGUGAAAGAUGCUAAAAGAAAACAUUUCUCAGAUAUUAUCCUGUCAAACUGUCACAGGCCUCAUGUUUUGUUUAACACUAUUGACUCACUUCUGAAUGCACCACAGACUGCCUGUAUGGAGGCGUCCCCUGCUGUGUGUGAAAACUUCCUUCACUUUUUUAUUGAUAAGGUCACUUCAGUUAGGGCUCAAAUCUCACCUUCAGUUUAUGACCCCUCAAUCUCUGUCCCCUGCUCUGCUGUCUUUGACCAUUUUGAGCCUGUGACUUUUUCCUUUUUACAGGAGGUUGUUGGUCAUUUGAAGCCCUCAGGUUCNNNNNNNNNNNNNNNNNNNNNNNNN
rnacentral:lncRNA from 15 species